CAGCACGGGUGCUUGCACCUGGUGGCGAGUGGCGAACGGGUGAGUAAUACAUCGGAACAUGUCCUGUAGUGGGGGAUAGCCCGGCGAAAGCCGGAUUAAUACCGCAUACGAUCUACGGAUGAAAGCGGGGGACCUUCGGGCCUCGCGCUAUAGGGUUGGCCGAUGGCUGAUUAGCUAGUUGGUGGGGUAAAGGCCUACCAAGGCGACGAUCAGUAGCUGGUCUGAGAGGACGACCAGCCACACUGGGACUGAGACACGGCCCAGACUCCUACGGGAGGCAGCAGUGGGGAAUUUUGGACAAUGGGCGAAAGCCUGAUCCAGCAAUGCCGCGUGUGUGAAGAAGGCCUUCGGGUUGUAAAGCACUUUUGUCCGGAAAGAAAUCCUUGGCUCUAAUACAGUCGGGGGAUGACGGUACCGGAAGAAUAAGCACCGGCUAACUACGUGCCAGCAGCCGCGGUAAUACGUAGGGUGCAAGCGUUAAUCGGAAUUACUGGGCGUAAAGCGUGCGCAGGCGGUUUGCUAAGACCGAUGUGAAAUCCCCGGGCUCAACCUGGGAACUGCAUUGGUGACUGGCAGGCUAGAGUAUGGCAGAGGGGGGUAGAAUUCCACGUGUAGCAGUGAAAUGCGUAGAGAUGUGGAGGAAUACCGAUGGCGAAGGCAGCCCCCUGGGCCAAUACUGACGCUCAUGCACGAAAGCGUGGGGAGCAACAGGAUUAGAUACCCUGGUAGUCCACGCCCUAAACGAUGUCAACUAGUUGUUGGGGAUUCAUUUCCUUAGUAACGUAGCUAACGCGUGAAGUUGACCGCCUGGGGAGUACGGUCGCAAGAUUAAAACUCAAAGGAAUUGACGGGGACCCGCACAAGCGGUGGAUGAUGUGGAUUAAUUCGAUGCAACGCGAAAAACCUUACCUACCCUUGACAUGGUCGGAAUCCCGCUGAGAGGUGGGAGUGCUCGAAAGAGAACCGGCGCACAGGUGCUGCAUGGCUGUCGUCAGCUUGUGUCGUGAGAUGUUGGGUUAAGUCCCGCAACGAGCGCAACCCUUGUCCUUAGUUGCUACGCAAGAGCACUUUAAGGAGACUGCCGGUGACAAACCGGAGGAAGGUGGGGAUGACGUCAAGUCCUCAUGGCCCUUAUGGGUAGGGCUUCACACGUCAUACAAUGGUCGGAACAGAGGGUUGCCAACCCGCGAGGGGGAGCUAAUCCCAGAAAACCGAUCGUAGUCCGGAUUGCACUCUGCAACUCGAGUGCAUGAAGCUGGAAUCGCUAGUAAUCGCGGAUCAGCAUGCCGCGGUGAAUACGUUCCCGGGUCUUGUACACACCGCCCGUCACACCAUGGGAGUGGGUUUUACCAGAAGUG
rnacentral:rRNA from 1 species